AAUCCCACUUUGUUUGGCCUAAGAAACAGAUAAGCCACUGGGUUUGGUCUAGAAAUAUUCUGUAACAGAGAACUUCUUUUUUCUUUCUUGUGGCUUGUCCCAAAGAUACUGAAAAACCCUGAAAGAAGUCUGGUACAACUGAAAAAAAUAUCCAGUCAAUGGAGAGACACUUGAUGAGCUUACUCCUCUCCAUCCAAAGACCAUUCAACCUUAAUUUCAGCAGUUUUUCAUGAAAAUACAUGGGGAGGAGGCAGUGUCUACAGUUUUCAAACAAAGACGUGUCAUGCUUUUAGGUGUGCUUGUGACAUAUGCUGUCAACCCAUUUCCAAAUGCUGCUUGGCUUUUCACACUGAAGUUGACUUUCCUCAGACAAAAUACAGCUAUAAGUAUAUUCUACCUGCACGACGUUUUUCACCCUUCCAUAUCUUGCGAUCCAUACAAAGAGCUUUUGUACAAGUGAUCCUAAAGAUCUUCCCAGUUGGAUUGAUUCAUUGAUAACUGCCCCAAAAGGGACAGUGUUUCUUCUCUUGGUAAAACUGAGCCUUCCAUAUCACAAAACAAAGGUAAAAGUGUGUUAUUUGUGUCAGAGGACUAUAGCAGUCUUAAAAUCCUCAGGGCAAGCCUAUUUCAUGCACCAUCUUAUAGCACCAGAAGCACAACCAGCUGAGCAUGCUGUAGAGGUGGGAAAGCUUGAAGUCUCCCAGCCCUGAAGCACUGCCAGCACUGACUAUCCCUGUCCCAGGUUCUUUCUCAGCCACUGGGGCUCCCCUCAACCUGCUCAGUUCCAGGCCCUUGUGUCUGCCAUGAGGCCAUUAUCCCCUGCCCCAGCAAGGCCACAGCAGAACUGGUCACCGAGGAUUAGCAAAGUGAGGUAUGCAGAGGACUGUCUAACUGGGGGAAUGAUGAGUCUCUGGUCAAGAUACAGAGAAGUGCUGAAGGAUCUCCUUCUUUUCAGGCAUUUAGGAAUCAUUUGACAAACCUCUUUGCCAUUGGCUGAGAUAUACUUGAUGCCUUUCACCAAAAAAAUUAGAUUAGAUGAUUUAUUGAUGUCCUUAUCACAUUUGAUUUCAGUGAUUUCUGUUUCUAUUACUGCUAAGAGCAAGGUGGGGUUUUUGUUGUUGUUGUUGUUUGGUUGGUUGGUUGGUUUUGGUUUGGUUUUAUUUAUUUAUUUGUUUGUUUAUUGCACUGUAGAGUUAUGAAUGAUAUCCAUAUUUCUUAUGUAGUAUCAAAACACAUAUGUUUUCUUCAACAUGACUCCAGGUAGCAGUCCAAAACAAAAACAAAAACAAAAAAAA
ensembl:lncRNA